CUCUCUCUCUCUCUCUUUCUCUCUUUCCUUUCUCUCGCCACACCCCUGCCGUCACACACCGACGACGAAGACGACACGUCGGCGAGCGGGCACGUCGCGUCGUCGGGGCUAACGUGCACGUGCACGUCGUUAACGCGCACACGCGUCGGCCAGCAUCGAUCGCGCCACUGGGAAAUCCGCGCGCGGAAUCCGGGAGGCACGCACUGCGGCGCCCGCGGGGAUUCGCCCGACCGCAACCGCACGGUCAGAACGCCAUCCUUCCCAGAUCGACCGCGAACUUCCUUCUCCACGAUGCAACUCCUUUUGUUAUCCCUGAACACGGAAACCCUCCGGACUCCUCGGUGGUACCAAAAGUGCGACGCUUCCUAAUCGUGUUCGCGCUUGCAGCCGAUGCGGCACUGCUCCCGAAGGAUGACCCGGACAAAUGCGUCAACGUCGUUCACGUGCUAUUCCGUGAAAACGCAUGCGCUCAUCGACGGCAACAAGUUGGCGUCAGCACCGACCGUACCCCGGAACGAAACGACUGCGCUCCGGAGGAACCGUGGAGAAGCGUGCGAUGGCGUGACGACUAUAUAAACGGCAUCGAUAGGCCAAGGACAAGUCGGCGACGCGCCAAAGGGGUGGUUUUCUCCAUUUAUGACCAUUUAAACGCAGGAUGUCCGGCGCCGUUCAACAAACAUCACUACUCUCGCGAGCCCCAUCGUUUUGCGUUGAAAAAUAAGAUUUUUAAUGAAUAGACAGAUUAAGUAGAAAUCCCUAGGUCUUAAAUUUUAGUCUUAGAUUUUUUAAAUUACAGAAUCUCGAGGUUAUUAAUAGAAACACGAUAGCCUUCAAACUAUAGGUCAAUUGAAACUGCGAUUUCACCAACGGAAAGUUAUUCGCCAAGGAUAUAUUACAUCUACUUUUACUUAUAAUGGAAAAA